GACGAACGCUGGCGGCGUGGAUUAGGCAUGCAAGUCGAACGGUAUCAUCCUUUCGGGGGUGAGAGAGUGGCGAACUGGUGAGUAACACGUAGGUUAUCUACCCUCAAGACGAGGACAACCCAGGGAAACUUGGGCUAAUACCGGAUGUGAGCAACUUUUAGUUGUUUGAAAGGUGGCGUAAGCUGUCGCUUGGGGAUGAGCCUGCGUCCUAUUAGUUAGUUGGUGAGGUAACGGCUCACCUAGGCAAUGAUAGGUAGGCGGCCUUAACGGGUGGUCGCCCACACUGGGAUUGAGAUACGGCCCAGACUCCUACGGGAGGCAGCAGUCGAGAAUAGUCUACAAUGGUCGGAAGACUGAUAGUGCGACGCCGCGUGAACGAUGAAUCCCUUCGGGGUGUAAAGUUCUUUUAUAUGUGAGCAGUGCUUCUUAUAUUAACAGUAUGGGGAAGAGAUAUUAGCAUAUGAAUAAGCAACGGCUAACUCCGUGCCAGCAGCCGCGGUAAA
rnacentral:rRNA from 1 species